AGGCUGGAGGACACUCUGAGCUGCAGUUCAUGAUGUCAUGAGGUGUUCACAUUUACUGAGGAAAAACUGCCUUGCUGAGACAAAAUGUACAGUGGGAUGGAGACCAGUUGUUGAGGGAGGCGUCAUUAUACUAGUUCAGUGUCAGGGAACUCCCCACAUGGCAGACGGAAACCCCGAGGUGGCCAAAGUAUUGGUUAUCAAAAUAUUGAGGAGCUGGAAAAGUAUCAGUGACCAACAUGAAGUGGGAGAAACCGUAAAGUUAAAAGUGACCAUCAUG